UUUUUUUUUUUUUNAGGUUUUUUUUUUUUUUCUUUUUACUGCUGCACCUACGGCAUAUGGAAAUGCCCAGGCUAGGGAUCCAACUGGAGCUGCAGCUGCCAGCCCACGCCACAGCCACAGCCAGGCCAGAGACAAGAUGCAUCUUACACCCAUGCUGAGUCUCAUGGCAACGCCAGAUCCUUAACCCACUGGCCAGGGAUGGAGCUCACAUCCCCACGGACACUAUGUUGGGUCCUUAAUUUACUGAGCCACAGCAGGAGCUCCUUUUUUAAAUGUUUCAAGUUUUAUUGAAGUGUAGUUGAUUUACAAUGUUGUAAUAAUUUCUGCUCUUAAUAUAACGCCUUGAUUUGUUUUUUAUGGCCAGAACAUGAUUGAAUCUUUUCUUUAUGACCCAAGGAGGCUUUGAAGAGAAAACGAACAAGAUAGUGGAGGGUGAACCGUGUGUGCCAGCCUUUUUAGAGCCAAAGUCAGGACGCCCUCAGAGAGUCCUUGGGAAUGGAAGUGUAGACAGGUGAUGCGUGAUUGUGAACACCAACUGGUUUGCUAAAGUGAAGGCACCACGUGGCAGGAUCCGUGUGACAGUGGAGUAGGGGCCCCAGUGACUUCCAGAAGGUUCAGUAUUAACCUCCAGGUAGCGUCCCGGCUCCUCUUUCGUCCAUGUCAGCAUCUCCUUCCUUCUAGUGCCACGUGCUCUGCUGCUGCAGCUGAAUCUCUCUUUUCCUUUUCUUCCUCCCUUGUGUUUUUCUUUCUCCUCUGUUCUCUCUCCUGGCACCAGCUCUUCGUUUCUAGGCUUUGGAAUAAAAGGUUGGCCUUUGAAAGACACUAAAGCCAGUCAGUGUGUUUCAUUCCCUUUUCACAAUUGGCCCUUCUCGGUGGCAGUGUAAGUCCUGAAGUUGGGGUCUGUCCCCAGUACUUAGCACACUGCCUGGCCCAGAGUAAGGAUUCAGUGUGCACUUGAUGAAGGAACCCACGACAUGUAAUUUUGGAACUUUGUUUACAUGUGGUGGGGUGCUCAGAAGUUAUUUAUUUAUUUUUAACCUCCAAAGAGGUGGUAGGAUAUGUGUUUCUACAUUCUUUUUGAAUCUGAGGUUUUUCCCAGAAUUCUAAAGGAUCUAGAAAGUUGGACACAGGAUUAGCAAAAUGUAAGUGUAGUUAUGUCUACAUGUUGUCAUCUAGACAGCUGAUUAGUGGCAGCAACCCAACAAUCUUUAAAAAAAGAAUAAACAAACAAAGGAAUAAACAAAAACAGUAAGAAAACCAUCCCCAAGGGGCUGUCUAAAUAAAGGGCGAAAAUUCUUACGGCUCCGGGAUCUUUCACAUUAGUAUUGGUGGUUUAUUAAAAAUAUACUAAGCCUGCUUGAAAGAAACCAAUUCAUACCAUUUUCAUAUAUGCACAGAAUUGCAACAAAUGGCAAAGUAGAGUUUUUGAUGCUCUGACUUGUGAACUUAUCACCUCUGUUACUUUAAAUCACUUAAAUUUUAACAAAUAAAUGAGAUAUUUGGGGUAGGGACAUAGAGUCGAUAAGAAUAACAAAUUCUUGAGUGAGAAGGGACUUUAGAGCCCAUGUGGUCUGACCUAAAUAAUCCAGGAAUUCCUUCUACAGAAUCCCUGACAGAUGGUCAUACACUUGUGUUUUGAAUACUUUUUAGUGUCAGGAAAUGUGUUAUUUCAAGAGGCAGCAUAUUUCAUUGUUGGACGGUUUUAAAAGUUAGAAAAUAAUAUUUUCAUACAUCAAGCCAACAUUUCCAUCCUUCUAACUCCCAUCCACGGAUCCCAGAAUAUUUCUUAAAUAUUCUACUGUUGUGUUUUAGCAGAGGGUGACCAAAAUGCUGUCAUGUGUUUGUCAAACACCUACGUGGAGCUUCCUUACUGCUCAGCGCUGCGAGGCUCCUGAAGCUUCCGAGGUGGUCCCUGCCUGUGAGCAGCUCAUAGGCUAAUUAUGAGACCAGACAACCCCACGCUGUUAACUGACAAGUGAUGAUGGGAGAACGGAAGGUUUCCCGUUCCUGUCUGUGAUCUGGAAGUCUUAAAGGAGGAAGUAAAGACCAGGAAGGAAGCUUUGAAGCGUGAUGCUCCCAGGCAGCAAAGGCCUGAAAAGAGGAGGGGAGGAUAGGGCUGUAGGCACAGAGACCAAAGGGAUGAAGUUAAAUAAGAAGGAUAUGGAGGAACCGGAAAGCUCUGAAGACGUCUUUAAAUAACCAAUCACAUCAUGUCUUCCAUUCCGGCUUUUCAAAUCAUAGUGUAAUACAUCCUGCAAUGAAAGGGUAAAUGAUACAGAAAUGCCUUAAUUAAAAAGUGAAAAAAGGGACGUAUCUUUCAGCUCUCCUGCCCAUUCCCUCAACCUAACCACCGUUUUAACCACGUAGGGUACAUUCUGGGCUCGCAAACUAGGGCUCAUGAGCCAAAACGGCCCCACCACCUGUUUCUGUGCAGUCCACAGGCUAAGAAUGAUUUUUACAUAUUUAUAUCAUUGAAAAGAAUGCCAAGGAAGAAUGAGAUGUGAAAAUAGUGUGACAUUCAAGCGUUAGUGUCCACAAAAAAGUAUUACAUUUUGGCAAUAAGAAGUUUUUGGAAAUGUUUCUCUCUCAUUAUGUAAGUAUCUACAUAAGAGUGUCGAUUUUGCCUUUUGGCCCUGAAAACCUAAACUACUUACUAAAUGACCCUUUGCUGGCCCUGUGUUUUGAAGCUACGUGGCCCAAGCCUCUGGGAGUGUGGUCCCUACAGGGAUAGCAGGUGCAAAGUGAUGUGCUCCAAGCCUGGGUUACCUGAAUUCAGGCGGGAGUGGGCGCCAGAUGUGAGAUGUCCAAAAGCAGAGCCCGAGGGGCCAGGGAAGUCACUGAAGGAGAUGAGGUGGGGAGUAGUCCAAGGCGCCCCCCCCUCCAGGGUGGUGCUGUGGAAGACGUCCAGAUGUUGAAGGGGCACUCUUUGGAGAGGCAAACAGCAGACCAUCCAACUCUAACCAGGAGUGCCGGUCAUUGGUGCCCACAACUCAUGUUACCUUCUGAAGCCUGUGUAAGCCCUCACCUUGCAUUCUGCAUCUUGCAUCUGGCACGAUUGAUUUGAUAAUAUACAUUUUGAACAAGGGCUGUUCUAGGUGCCUGUUUCCCAGCUCUCUGUAUACAAGUUACCUAAGUAUACAUACAACUGACAUAAGUGAUGUCUGUUAGGUUGGUUAAUGCUGAACAUUGGGGGUUCAUGCUGAAACAGUGUCUGGAAAAGAAAUGAAUCACAGGCUUAAAUUGAGCACCAUUUGCUUCCCUCUUAGGGAAAUAUUUUGAGGGAAAGAGUCUCUCAUUAUAAAAAAGUGUGUGAGAUUUUGGAGGGACAUUUGUGGAUGCCAUUUCUACCACCCUCACCCCCGUGACCAGAUUUCUGCACGUAGGGUUGGGUGAUGGGUGGCGUAGUCAUAGCACUUCCCUGCGCACACACAACGCGGGUUUGUGUUCCCGUGUGUUCUGUCAGCAUGAGCUGUGAAAAAGAAGGAAAGCCUCCCUGUUGUGCUACAAUUAGGCCACACGGCCUGAUGCCCCAUUGCAGCUCCACCUUGUGGAUUUUAUCUAAGUGGUGAGUUCCCUACAGCUGGUGAGUUCCCUACAGCUGGUUUUCUGAUACUGAGGAGUCUCCUUGAUACUCAUUUCAGUUAAAAUAGACAAUUGUGUACAUAGAGGUGCAUAAAUUUUACCUUUCAUUUGACACAUGUUUGAACAAUUUCUGGGUUUUUUGGGUAGGUUUUAUUCUAGCCUCCUGCAUACUAAUUUUUUCCUUUAACUCGUUUGGUGAAAGCACCUGAUAAGUGAGAUCACAAACUAAAAAAUUUGAAAGAGAAUGUAAGUAGAAUGAUGUCUCAGCUCUGUGACAAUGGCAGAGAUUAACACUCAGUGAUGAGGGAUCCCUAGGAGGUAAGAGGGAGACCUCACCAUGGGAGUCAGAGAAUUGCCAGGUACCCAUGGCCCAUGGGCUAGACAUCAAGAACCUGCUUCUGACUUCAGCUUGAAAAUGGUUCCCUCUGUGACACUGGGUAAUCUGCAAGACUCCUGUUUCCCAGAUGGGAAAUGAGAAUGUCACAACCUAGCAUCUAGUUGGACAUAAAAAGUUUGGAAGUUUGGGAAUAAAAAGCAGAAUAUUUGCACAGCACUUUGAGCAUCUUUAAAGAUGAGCGACAUUUGAAUUUUCAGCAUUACUGGUGUUCUGUUCGGUGUGUACCUAUCUUGGUGAAGACACCUUAGACUUUUUUUUUUUCCCCCAAAAAAAUGAAUCAAGCUGUAUCACCUGACCCCUGACAUUACUUUUACAAUCAUUUUGGCACCUUUAAUAUAGUUUUAAAUAUAGUGCCUAUUUUGGGAGAAAUCAUGGCUUCUGUUAGUGACAUUGUUUCUUGUCCUUACUGGAAAAAAAAAUCAUAAGGCUGAUAGAUAUUUUUGUCAUUAACAUAUAGGCAUUUUUGCUUGCUUUCAGAAGGCUAUAACUUUAACGUUUAUAAUUAAAUGGACUUUUUUCCUCAAUGCAAGGGAAUUUCUGGGAUCUGACUAUACACAUAGAGUAAAAGAAAUGUGAAUUGAUUAACAUGCUAUUAUAUAAACUAUGGGAGUGGAGUUUCCAAAGACCUUUAUUGUACUAAUCCUUCACUGUCAUGUAUUUCUCUAUAGAGUAAAAUUCCGUGGAUGCUGAAUAAAAGUUUCAUUUUGCCCAAGAUUAUUUAACCAGGUAUCAAAGAGGAUAGUUAAUAAAAGUGAUCUGACCUUCAUCAUGAUUCUGAAGGAGGCUCUUGUCCAAUUAUGUUCUCUCUCCCUCUUGUGUACAGUCACUGCUAGUGAGUCAGUUUCUACACGGGAGCAUUUGUACCUCAGGGGAGAGGGCCCCUGACCCAUGAGGAGGUCCUGUGGCCAGCUGCCCAGAGUAGAAAAAUGUGUAUUCAGCGGAACCCCUAUCAGUGGAGCAAAUGUUGAGAACCUGGUAGGUGGUACCACGUUGUACAACUGCACCCCGAGCAGUAGGUGUCACUGUAGUCAGUGGCUUCUGACUGCUCAGAGCUGAAGGGGUUAAUUGGGUCUGGUUUAUUUGGGCAGAUAAAGGUCCAUCUGUGCCCUCCCGGCUGCUUGUCUUUGUCGCUAGGGCCCCAGUUGACACCAAUGAAAGACUCCAGUCCAUGUUGAAAGGCACCAUUUUUCUCUCCAAGAAGGGAAGCAAGAUACCUUCCCAUCUAUAUUUUAGAGUCAGGGGCUAGGCUGUUUGAUGUGAUGCGGUGGGUUGAGUUGAGGGGGAUAAACAGAAGUGACAGACUCCUUCUCAAGU
rnacentral:lncRNA from 1 species